GGCUUAAAUACGUUUGUUUCUCUUGUGAUCCUUGGAAUUUGUGGGUGUUUUCGAGGUCUACAAAUUAAAACUAGGUGUGACAAUGGCAUGAGAAACACAAGCAACUUUAGAAGAUACUCCAUACUGACUGGUGUUCAACUGUUUGUAAUACUUUAUUCAGUUAGGUAUAUUGGAUGGCAAAUGCAGAAUGGGUUAUGAUGCUGGAAGUGGAGAACCAUUUUCUGAAGUGCAUACUCCUCAGUUGCUGAAUAACGGCAGUGGAAGGUACCUGGGACAGAGAAAACAUCAUAAUGCCACUAAGCCAGCCCUGUAUUUCCUUCCUCUAAAUUUAUU